GCACCUCUAGCUCAAUUGGCAGAGCAACUGACUCUUAAUCAGUGGGUUCUCGGUUCAAGUCCGAGGGGGGUGCACCA
rnacentral:tRNA from 2 species